rnacentral:rRNA from 1 species
AUUGAACGCUGGCGGCAGGCUUAACACAUGCAAGUCGAGCGGAGAGAGGUAGCUUGCUACUGAUCUUAGCGGCGGACGGGUGAGUAAUGCUUAGGAAUCUGCCUAUUAGUGGGGGACAACAUUUCGAAAGGAAUGCUAAUACCGCAUACGUCCUACGGGAGAAAGCAGGGGAUCUUCGGACCUUGCGCUAAUAGAUGAGCCUAAGUCGGAUUAGCUAGUUGGUGGGGUAAAGGCCUACCAAGGGGACGAUCUGUAGCGGGUCUGGGAGGAUGAUCCGCCACACUGGGACUGAGACACGGCCCAGACUCCUACGGGAGGCAGCAGUGGGGAAUAUUGGACAAUGGGCGGAAGCCUGAUCCAGCCAUGCCGCGUGUGUGAAGAAGGCCUUAUGGUUGUAAAGCACUUUAAGCGAGGAGGAGGCUACUUUAGUUAAUACCUAGAGAUAGUGGACGUUACUCGCAGAAUAAGCACCGGCUAACUCUGUGCCAGCAGCCGCCGUAAUAC